rnacentral:misc_RNA from 1 species
GAUGAAGAACGUAGCGAAAUGCGAUAAGUAAUGUGAAUUGCAGAAUUCCGUGAGUCAUCGAAUCUUUGAACGCACAUUGCGCCCCCUGGUAUUCCGGAGGGCAUGUCUGUCCGAGCGUCAUUAGUCCAAUCUCAAGCCCGGCUUGUCGUUGGGUCCCACCGCCCGGGGCGGUGGACCCGAAAUAUAAUGACGGGGCCUGGUGGACCGUGGGCGCAGCGAGCUUUUACAGCACGCGUCCCGGCGUCAUCUAGGCGCGUCUCCAACCACACGUUCUGUAGGUUGACCUCGGAUCAGACAGGAUUACCCGCUGAACUUAAGCAUAUCAAUAAGCGGAGGA